GCUCAUGAGUCAGUCGGAUCAUUUGAAUCAGUUCAACGGGUUGACAACAGGAGUUAGGUUCGACGAUAAACAAGUGCUUUUUUGGUCGACACAUGUAUUUAAAGCACGCACUCCUUCCCCUUUACAUCUGGUACAACUAGCUUUAAAAAGUAAGAGUUGGAGUUUGAAAAAUGACAGUCUGAAAUUGGCCAAAGACAUUUCCAGAUGCCAUUUCCCCAUCCUUUAAACUGUCUCCUCCUAAUAAAACAAGUGGCAAAACACCAAAAGGAAAAGAUAAUGGAAUAGCCCACUGUGCCAGAUGUGGAUGAUAAAAGAAUGGGAAGUAUAUGCAGGCACAUAUUUCGGAUUUCUAACCUGCUCUUGGCAUUAUACUUUGGCUGUAGCUGUGAUUAUAGCAACAUUUAUGUAGGAUUUUGUCUUGUUUCACGGAGUAUGUGUUGCAGUGAUUAUGAGCAGCUGAAGUGGUCUAAUACCCUGGCAGUGGUCCAGACAGUGUCCUCUAUGGCACAUAUAUUCUCAGCAGUGACUCAUUCUGGUGUUUUGAGCCUCCUGGAGGAAGCUCUCUUUCUCUCUCCGUAAUUCUUCAAGCUGAAAUACUGAGAAGAACCUCACAAUGCUGCUCUGUCCCUCAAAAACACUGAAGUCAUAGUUUCCCAGGCUGCUGCCCCCUGAGAUGCCUAGAAGUGAAGAAGCGAGAGGAGGGGCACAGAGCUUGGUAAAUUGCUUUUGCCAUGAAAAAAAAAACAGUAUAAUACAUUCUUGUGCCCCUGUUGGCAUCUUCAUUGCCCUAAUAUAGCCGAUGAUGUUCUAUAAAAUGUUCC